GUAGGUGGCAAGCGUUGUCCGGAAUUAUUGGGCGUAAAGCGCGCGCAGGCGGUUCUUUAAGUCUGAUGUGAAAGCCCACGGCUCAACCGUGGAGAGUCAUUGGAAACUGGAGAACUUGAGUACAGAAGAGGAAAGCGGAAUUCCACGUGUAGCGGUGAAAUGCGUAGAGAUGUGGAGGAACACCAGUGGCGAAGGCGGCUUUCUGGUCUGUAACUGACGCUGAGGCGCGAAAGCGUGGGGAGCAAACAGGAUUAGAUACCCUGGUAGUCCACGCCGUAAACGAUGAGUGCUAAGUGUUAGGGGGGUUUCCGCCCCCCUUAGUGCUGCAGCCAACGCAUUAAGCACUCCGCCUGGGAGUACGGCCGCAAGGCUG
rnacentral:rRNA from 1 species